AGUUAAUAACUUUAGAAAGUAAUAUGUUUUGAAAGCAUAAAUAAAAGGUUAAAAUCCUUUAUUAACUU
rnacentral:tRNA from 1 species